rnacentral:rRNA from 1 species
AACGAACGCUGGCGGCAUGCCUAACACAUGCAAGUCGAACGAGACCUUCGGGUCUAGUGGCGCACGGGUGCAUAACGCGUGGGAACCUGCCCUUAGGUUCGGAAUAACUCCCCGAAAGGGGUGCUAAUACCGGAUAAUGUCUUCGGACCAAAGAUUUAUCGCCUUUGGAUGGGCCCGCGUUGGAUUAGCUAGUUGGUAGGGUAAAAGCCUACCAAGGCGACGAUCCAUAGCUGGUCUGAGAGGAUGAUCAGCCACACUGGGACUGAGACACGGCCCAGACUCCUACGGGAGGCAGCAGUGGGGAAUAUUGGACAAUGGGCGAAAGCCUGAUCCAGCAAUGCCGCGUGAGUGAUGAAGGCCUUAGGGUUGUAAAGCUCUUUUACCCGGGAUGAUAAUGACAGUACCGGGAGAAUAAGCUCCGGCUAACUCCGAG